rnacentral:rRNA from 1 species
AUUUGAUAGUACCUUACUACUUGGAUACCUGUGGUAAUUCUAGAGCUAAUACAUGCUAAAAACCUCGACUUCGGAAGGGGUGUAUUUAUUAGAUAAAAAACCAAUGCCCUUCGGGGCUCCUUGGUGAUUCAUAAUAACUCAACGAAUCGCAUGGCCUUGCGCCGGCGAUGGUUCAUUCAAAUUUCUGCCCUAUCAACUUUCGAUGGUAGUAUAGAGGACUACCAUGGUUUCUACGGGUAACGGGGAAUUAGGGUUCUAUUCCGGAGAGGGAGCCUGAGAAACGGCUACCACAUCCAAGGAAGGCAGCAGGCGCGCAAAUUACCCAAUCCCGACACGGGGAGGUAGUGACAAUAAAUACUGAUCCAGGGCUCUUUUGGGUCUUGGAAUUGGAAUGAGUACAAUUUAAAUCCCUUAACGAGGAACAAUUGGAGGGCAAGUCUGGUGCCAGCAGCCGCGGUAAUUCCAGCUCCAAUAGCGUAUAUUAAAGUUGUUGCAGUUAAAAAGCUCGUAGUUGAAACUUGGGUCUGGCUGACCGGUCCGCCUCACCGCGUGCACUGGCUUGGCCGGACCUUUCCUUCUGGGGAACCGCAUGGCCUUCAUUGGUCGUGUUGGGGAUCCAGGACUUUUACUUUGAAAAAAUUAGAGUGUUCAAAGCAGGCCUAUGCUCGAAUACAUUAGCAUGGAAUAAUAACAAUAGNCGUGUGGUU